GCUUCCUCUCCCGUUCGCUCAGCCCCCAAGUUAUAAUUCCUCAGGGAGGCUGGCCGGCUCGCGGAUUCGUUCUGCUUGCACAGAUCCUUACGGGCCGGUGGAGCAGAGAAACCAUGAACCAAGAUAGUGGCUGUAAUGGAAGAUGGAGACAGGCUUGGAUAUAAACCGUUCUAGGUAUUGAAGAAAGGGAUGAGUCCUCAGCUGAACAGCAGCACUGACUUCUAGAGCACCAUAGAACUGAGUUACUACCUCUCAGAAGGAAGCCAGGGGCCACUUCUGGAAGGUGAAGGAAGAGGAUGCUCUGCAUCCCAGACUGGCCUCAAACUCAGUGGUCCUCCCACCUAAGCCUCCUGGGAGCUGGGAUUAGAAGCGUGUACCACAUCAGCCAGUUUCAUGAGGACGUUUCCUGGUGGCAGAAGAAAGCACAGCAAGCACAGGGGCUGGACAUCACCUCUG